rnacentral:rRNA from 3 species
GGAUGCGAUCAUACCAGCACUAAAGCACCGGAUCCCAUCAGAACUCCGAAAUUAAGCGUGCUUGGGCGAGAGUAGUACUAGGAUGGGUGACCUCCUGGGAAGUCCUCGUGUUGCAUUCC